rnacentral:piRNA from 1 species
UGAAUGCUGACCCACAAGUAA